AGAACUUGGGGUCCUUUACUAUUUAAAUGUCGGAACCCCCUCAACCUACCCCCUCUGUUGUCCCUCUCAGACCCCUCUUCCCAAACCCUAAAAAAGCCAGUCGCCUUAUCCUCUGUCGAACCCACCGACGACAAUGACACAAACCACUCUGAUCACUCCCAUAAAUACACCAUCGUUUCCUUUCAUCCUCCCUAUUACCAAUCCAUGCUUAGUUCUCCUCAAAACCCCUGUAAUCUCCUCGAAUCUUCAUUUGAAUUUAUGAACGCUAGCCGCUGCCUUUGUUCUCCGUUGGCAGCGCCGCCUCAAAUCUCACUAGAAAUCACAACCCACAGCCUUCUCACCCUCCUCUCCCCAAAUCCCAAACUGAAAUCCCUCAAGCCCGGCCUGAAUCCCUCUAUUUUAGAUCUAGGGUUUUGUUCGGAGAUUGGAUUGAAUUUACAAGCUUAAUCUGUGUUUGAAUAGGUCCCAAAAUAAUGCUAUGUGCUUUUUCUUCGCAAGACAAGCAUAUAACACUAUUUCGGAUCGGAUUCGAGGCCAGUCGAUGUGAGGCUGAAAAACAGUGAGUUUUCUUAUUUUUAUUUCUUUCUUUAUUUGUAUAUAAUUCCUUUAAUACAUAGUUUUGAAUUUUUGUUUUCGUUCAUCUUCAGUAUUUCUUUUGUUGAGUUAGGAUUUAUUUAGGGUUUAGAUUGGUGCUGAUGAUAUGUCUUGUUUUAAUAUUGGAUAUGAUUUCCUGUUUAAUUUUAACCGUAGGAUUUCAUGUUUUACUGUUUGUUAGUUUGACAACAAUUUAGCCUUAAGAAAUUUGGUUAAUUAGAAUUAGUUUUAAGUUUUAACCUAAUUGGUUUGGUUAUAGCUGCUCAAUGCAUCUAAUGUUGACCAGGGUAGGGGUUUGGGUUUAGUUAAGCUAAGUCCGUUAAUUCAAGGGAAUUCAACUGUAAUUCAGGUAUUUCAUAUUGGAUAAGUGAUGCAGUAACUGAUUUUGAAACCCCUAGAACAUUCUAGAUGGGGUUCCAAUCAGAAUGUUAAGACUAUAAAGCAGUAACUUGAGUAAUAAGACAUAAAUAAAAGGAAUAAUUGAGUAAAUCUGAAAAAUAAAAGAGGGACUAAUAGAAAAAAAAAUAGGGAAGGUUGCCCUAAGCCUUGCCUAUAAAAGGGCACAUCACUGCCUUGUUAAACAAGUUUAAAAACCCUAAAAAAUUCCCAAAAGUUCGAGCUCUGAAAAAAAUUCCAUAAAAACAAUCCCAAAUUCAAUCUCUGCAAUUCAAAACUGCAAAAACAAAAAUCAAAUGUUGUUAAUCUGAACAUCUGAAAGUUUUCCCUUCAAAUUGGAGUAUUUAGACCUUCAAAAAAUAAACAGAAAACUUUACAAAACAUUGUUCAAUCGAGGUUCAAGUCAUUCUCAGAUUCCAGGGUUUGAGUUGCAUCAUUUAGCCUAGGGUUUGAUUGUUGAAUUUUCUAGAGUUUAAUUGGUUGUUGUUCAUAUAUCCUUAAUCCUGGGUUGCAAUGAGACAAAUUUUGGACUUCCAAUUGAUCUAAAUGUGGUUACUGCUGAUUUAUCAGUGCUGGUAGUUUGAACUGCUAUUGAUCUUCAUCUUCUCUUUGUUUCAUCACAAAUUCGAGGUACACAUUUGAACUUGACUUGGUGUAGCUUUGAGGUGAAAAAAAUGAAAUGAAAAAUGCCAAGGCAUCUGCUCCCUGAACUGUGCUUGUUUGGACAACAAUAGUUAAUAGUCGAAUAGGCCUUAAAUGCUAUGUAAUGGGUUGAUAUAGUUUAAAUGUUGAUUUGUACUUAUAUAAACUUUGGACUGAACAAGACUGUUUUUGAGCUUAUUUAAAUAGUUGGAACUCAUUGUAAGUAACAUGAUUCUUGGAUCAUUACUGAUUCAUUUCUAGGUCUUCGUUAGUUGUAUUCAAAUGUGAACCUAUUUUAGGAGAUAUGGUUAAAAAAUGAAUCGAUAGUUCAUUGUAGCUUCAGUCGCAGAUUUUAACCUUACAAAUGAUUAUAAUCAGCUCUUAUAGUGGGUUAUUAGUAAAAUCAAUGUAUUUGUAUUUUUAAAAGUUGAUCGAGAGCAUGGAAUUUCCGUGUAUUAAUUUGAACAGGCGAGUUGAUCUUGAACCAGGGAAUGUGCGUUUAUGCAUAGUAAGUUUUCGUGAAUUUAAAAGUCUACCAUAGUUAAUGACUAUUCUUGUUUAAUCGUUGCUCUCCACAAUUUGUUUUAUGUAUAUUAGUACAGAGUCCAUACCCCAGUACCUCCCCUAAAUUAGGUCUAUUAAUACUGAAACAAUGUCAAGUAUUGGGAAAAACGGCAUGUCCAAUAAUACUGAUCCAAAUAUAUUAGCAUGAGAGCUGAAAUGAAGCCUGAAUCCCAAUUUACCACCGUUAUGCGGAGGAUCUUAUUUUACACACUAAGAAUUGGGUAUAAUGGCAGUAAAAUGAAAUUGAAUAUAAAUUUGGGCUUUCGAGUUAGGUAGCGAAUUCGAAUUGAGAGGUUUCAUCCUUUUCUUUGAAUUCCGACUUGAAUUUGAGGCCCGAAUUCUGCAACGCUAAUUAACUAGGUCCGUUUAGAGACAAAUUAAAUAGAAAAUAAUAGUUUUCUCUAGGUUGGCUUUUAAAAAAUAAAAAUGAGGUGUGCCGCGCCAAAUAAACCCACAAAUUGUGUGGCCCUCUUUAAUGAUUAUAUUAAAAUGCUUAGAAAUUUGGGGCAUGCCGUUUGGCGAACUUCACGACUUCCCGCAAAGAUAAUAAUACUUUAGUAUAUUUAGGCGCGUCUUUAAUAAUUUUACCUUCCUAAAUACGGGUGUGCAUUUCAUGUGACCCAAGACCAAAUCCCAAAAUGUCGGAUGAAACGUGUUUCGGAUCCGGGUGCAUUUCAUGUGACGCGAUCCAAAGACAUGUUUUAACCAAUGUUCACAUUCCUAAAAAAUUCAAUUAAAAGCAGUAAAUAGUUUAGAAUUGCACUAUAGGGUGAACAUGUAUUAAAAUCAGAUUUUUAGAUAAUUAUAAUAGUUUAAGCGACCGUGCUAGAACCAUGGGAUCCGAGGGUACCUAACACCUUCCUUCGGGCUCAACAAAUUCCUUACAUAGAAUUUCUGGUUCGCAUACUCCAUUUGGGCAAUCAAAAAUUUUUUCGAUUUGGGAUUCAAAAAGAACCGGUGGCUUUGGACACCAAAAGCCAAGCCUAUCCAAAGUGGCAACUCUAAAUAAAUAAAAAAUCCCAUUUCGAACAAUGUCACUUAAAUUGGAAAAACUCCCUUAUACAUUUAUCCUUUGGGGUAGUCAUGUAAAAAGGUGGUGUGACAAUCUUAGCAAGUGAUUCAAAUCCGUCGAGUUUAGGAACAUUGCUUGAUUUCACAAUGAGUUGGCCAAUGCACUAGCUACUUUGGCCUCGAUACUGCCAUAUCCAGGCAAUGUCCAUAUUGACCCCCUGAAAAUCCAAAUUCGAGAAAGAAAUGGUUAUUACAAUGUAGUUGAAAUAGAGCCAGUUGUUCAGCCAUAGUAUCAUGAUAUCAAAAGAUUCUUGAAAACUAAAGAAUAUCCUGAGCAAGCUUGUGGAGACCAAAAGAGAACCAUUAGAAGGCUUUCCAGUGGCUUCUUCUUGAGCGGAGAUUUUUUCUACAAAAAGACUCCAUAUCUAAACAUUUUAAUAUGUGUGGAUGCCCAAGAGGUCGAAAGACUUAUGAAUUAAGUGCACGCAAGAGUAUGCGGACCCCGGAUGAAUGGAUACAUGCUUGCAAAGAAAAUCCUUCGAGGAGAUUAUUACUGGAUUACUAUGGAAAGGAAUAUUUUAGCUUUGUCUGAAAGUUUCACCAGUGUCAUGUACACGGUGACUUGAUAAUGCACUGCCUUCAGAACAACAUCCUAUGUCAUCACCGUGGCCAUUCGUUUCUUGGGGGUAUGGAUGUCAUUCGACCAAUCGAGCCAAAAGCUUUAAAUAGGCACAAAUUGAUCUUGGUUUCCUUUGACUAUUUCACAAAGUGGGUUGACACAGUUACUCUCAAAGACGACUUUAAGAAAGCAGUGGUAGACUUCGUGUAUUCCAACAUUAUUUGUUAUUUGGAUAUUCUUAAAACAAUCAUUAUAGACAAAUCGGCAAAUUUGAACAGUCAUUUGAUGAGGGAGGUAUGCCAACAAUUUAAGGUCAAGCAUCAAAGUUCUACCCCUUUUCAAGACAAAGCUAAUGGUCCCACUGAAGUAGCAAACAAAAAUAUCAACAAUAUUCUUAGAAAAAUAACUUAAAUAUGUAGACAAUGGGAUGAAAAGUUGCCUUUUGCAUUGUUGGGAUAUGGCACAAUUGUGCACACAUCGAUUCGAGCAAUACCCUAUCGAUUUGUUUAUGGAACAUAAGUCGUAAUGCUUGCAGAAGUUGAAAUUCCGUCUUUUCGAACAAUCAUGGAAGCUAAGAUUGAGGAUAAUGAGUUGGUCAAGACCCUUCUAGAACAGUUAACCUUGAUUGAUGAAUAACGGAUGUCCGUAGUUUGCAAUGGGAAGUUGUAUCAACAAAGAAUGGCCCGUGCCUAUAGUACGAACGUGCGGCCUAGGAACUUUGAAGUGGGGCAGCUCAUUUUGAGACGUAUUCUCCAACAUCACAAGGAAGAAAAAUGAAAGUUCGCUCCAAACUGAAAGGGUCCGUACAUUAUAAAAAAUUGUUGCCAAAAGGGGCAUUGUACUUGGGAGACAUUGAAGGGAAGGACCCUAAAACACUUGUCAAUGCAAACACGGCCAAAAGGUAUUACAUUUAACCCCUCUGUAGUACCGGUAUUCUACGAUUAGAAUGAUGAAGUCUUUUAUUCUCGCCACUCAAACACUUCAACCCUUUUCUAACCCUUUGAGCCGGAUACAUUUCUUUCAUUAUCCUUUUUGGAACCCGAAAAGGUUUGUUAAAAAUAAAUCAAAAACAAAGUUCCAUGAACUACAUUUGACCUGAUUAUGAAGGAUAUGUAGGCAGCCUCUCUCUAGGGUUCAGCCGCACCAAAACAAAAAUCUAAUUUUUCGCAAAGCUGAAACUCAAGCAAAAUUUGUAUUGAUUCGGUGACGAUUCAUUGAAAGGUUCAAACGUUGUAAUUCAAUCCAAACACUUUUUACCCUAAAUCCUAUUCAAAUUCCUUUUGAUUAAUCGUUAAAGAUGUUCUAAAUGGGAGGACUUGGAUCAGACACAAUCAAAUAAGAGAAAUAAAAUGAGAGUCCUAUUGGUGAAAACCCACACGGGCACCAUAAAGCGAUGGUGAGCAGAGAAAUUAAAAGUGAGAUUCUUGUUAGUGAAAACUCACAAAGAGCACUUUAAGGUGACGAUGAUAAGAGAAAUGAGAGAGGUCAGUUGGUGGAAACUCGCAAAGGGCGCCACUGAUCGAAAAAAGAAGCACUCAUAACCAUCGGUGCUAAUAAGAGUCCUGGCAAGGUUUCACGAUUUUGAGGCAAAAGUUGUAUUAAGUUUCUAAGAGUCGAACGGUUUGCACAAAUCAGGCAUCCAACCCAAUAAGCAUGUCAUGUCUAUUGAAGUCUACAUGCUCUCCAGAUAAUCCCUUAUUUCCUUUCCCCAAAAGGGAAACUUCUCGCUUAAAUUUAUUAUCAGGUCUGUUGUUUACUUUCCUUUGAAUCCCUUUCGGUAUAAUUCUCCUCCGAAAUAAAUACAAAGAAAACAUAGCAAGAUUGUUUUACAGGGUUUUGUUUGACAAAAGUUAAAAUUAAAGAAAAAGCACCCAGUCUCAGCAAGUGCAUCAAGUCUAUCUGGACUAGCAAUGAUGGUUGAUGCUCCAGAGUCAAAACUUUUGAAAAGGAAAGAAAUAAAGGUCGAGUACCCAUAAAGGCAAAAUAAGAUUAAAAAUGCCAAGCCCCACACUAGUUAACCAUCAUGUGAAAUUUUGGAAAUUCAAGAUCCCUGGGUUUAGAAAUGAAACCAAAUUCCAGAGAGCCAACAAGCAAUAACGAUUUUUAUUGAACGAGCUGGGCUGAAAUAAAGUGAUUGAAACAAUCAAGAGCACAAAACCAACAACCACUUCAAACUUACAAAUUGUUCUUUGAUUUGAAAACAGGAAAAUAGGUACAAUCCAAAACAACCUCGCAAGAAGCAGGUGCAAUAAGAGCAAGGUUCGCGGAGACCAAAAUGGUCGUACAACAGAAGUUAACCUAAAAAGGAAAGUCCCUUUCAAACUGUUAAUGCAUGCUCCUGAAUAAAGUGCUAAAAGUAAAAUGAAAGAAAGAAGAAGAAAAAUUCAAAAUCAUGGUAGCCUAGGUUCUCCAAUCUCUAGCUACAUUUUUCCAAUAUCGGGUUCCAUUCCCUAGUCAGUGUCAGCAUAACCUAGUAGUCUUUUCCAGUAAAGGGUCGCACUCCCUUGUUGAUCCCUGACAUAACCUUAGGACCUUUUCAGCAUAUCCCAAUGACUUUCCUAGCAUAACCCGUGGACCUUUUUCGGCAUGACUCAAUGACCUCCCAAACAUAACCCAUGUACCUUCUCAACAUAACGCGAUAUCUUUACCGGCAUAACCCAUGGACCCUUUCCGGCAUAAACCUAUGACUUUCCCGCAGAACCCCUGUACCCUUUUCGUCAUAACCUGAUGACUUUCUGGGCAUAAUCUAUGGACCCUUUCCGGCAUAACCUGAUAAUAUUUCCGACAUAACCCCUAGACCUUUCCAGUAUAACCCGAUAACUAUCCUGACAUAACCCGUGGACCCUUUCCAGCAUAACCCGAUGACUAUCUCGGCAUAGCUCGGGGACCCUUUCUAGCAUAACUUGACGACUCUCCUAGUAUAACCCGAGGACCCUUUCUGGCAUAACUCGAUGACCUUCCUGACAUAACCCGAGGACCUUUCCGGAAGAACCAAAUGACUUUCUCGCAUAACCCGUGGUCCGUUCCGGCAUAACUUGAUGACUUUCCCGGCAUAACUCGUGGAACUUUUCCGUCAUAACCCAAUGAUUUUCCCUGCAUAAUACGUGGACCUUUCCUGCAGAACCCAUGACUUUCUCGUCACAACCCAUGGACCUUUCCGGCAUAAACCGAUGACUUUUCUGUCAUAUCUCGUUGACCUUUUUCGACAUAACCCGAUGACCACCUCGGCAUAGCCCGAGGACCUUUCCGAUGUAACCCAAUGACUUUCCCGGCAUAACCUGUGGACCUUUUUGGCAUGGCCUGAUGAAUUUCCCAAUAUAUCCGUGGAACUUUUAAGGCAUAAUCCCAUGACCUCCCUGGCAUAACUUGAGGACCUUUACGGCAUAACCCGAGGACAUUCCCAGCAUACCCUGUGAACUUUUCCGGCAUAAUCUGGUCAUUUUUCCAGAAUAACCUGGUAAUCUUCCCCCAACUUAAGGCCUCCAAUCCCCAUUUGAUUUCAUUUUACAUAUGAAGUCUCCACUCUCUAAAAUCUUUUUCUCAAGGAUACUCAAUCUGAAUCUUAUUGCUUUCUACAAAGAAAAAGAUUAGAUUUUGUUGCAAUAACUCACAAAAUUUUAGUAGUGAGGGCUGGGUAGAAACAUUUUGUUUAAUUUUUUUUUCUGGUGCCUGAACAUGUUUUUACCAUAUGGUACGAGGUUUGAGAUGACAAGGUUAAGAAGUAUCAAUCCGAAUAAAGAAAAGAAGUAAACUCUACGUACAGAACGGCAUAUCCCACUGAUCCUAAAGGCUAAAGAAGUAUGAACCAACGGCUGCAGCUAACGAGCAUCAAAAUUCAGAUCAGAAUAUGUAGAAAGAACCAUCCAAGACUCAAUAUCAAGCUUUAGAAGGACUAUAUAUAGGAAUCUUGACCAUCAAGAACAAGUACCUUAUGCCUAAAAUGUGGUGAUUGCGACUGAUUCAACCAUUGCUAGACUGAUCAUGAUACAAGAGGUGUCUGCACCCUAGGCUGUUGAUACAAUAGUCAGGAAAAUUAUUACAUGAGGGAUAAACAAAUUCGAUUUUCUCAUGUGUACAGGGAAGGAAAUGCUGUGGCAGAUAGCCUAGCUAAUUAUGCCAUUGAUGAGGAGAUUUCUGGCACUUCCUCAUGUGUUCAGGGAAGGAAAUGCUGUGGCAGAUAGCCUAGCUAAUUAUGCAAUUGAUGAGGAGAUUUUUUGCACUUUUGAGGAGUUUGACUAGCUGCUUGCACAAGCUAUAAAGCUUAUCAAUGUUGAUAAAGCUCAGAUUCCUAUAUUUAGAGUCAGAGUCCAUCCAUGGAGAUUCUAGUCUUGAUCCUCAAGUGUGUGUACCUGCAAAUAGAAGAAGAUGAACAGGUGGUUAGUCUGAUUCACAUUCAAAAGUUAGGGCCUUAUUUAAACAAAGUAUAUAUAUACUUUUUACCCCCCAACCUAGAGUAGCUAGGUGGGGAAGUCAAAUUAAUCCUUGUUCAUACAUAGGCUUCUCUGGUACGAAAUGGGCCAAUAACUCAUAGUUGAUAGGUUCAACUACUUUAGCUUUUCAUCUUUUACUUCGGUGUAAUAAGGAGCUCAGUAAGCUGAAACAACAACAGUGAAAUCAUGGUUUCUCGGUGGACUACCAAAACCUCAAGAACUACACCGAUCUGAUUCUUUUAUCGCCAAGGAUAUUUAUGAAACCUCCGAAGCAAGGUUCGGUCAUACUUUUUUAAAAAAAUACUUCCCAUGGAUUUUCAAACGGGCAAACAUCGCACAUAAUUGCUCGUUUUAUCUUUGCCCGCAAAUCUUUUGUGUUUCCAAGAAAAGAGGGGCAUUAGUGAGCAUGUGAUUUUUACCCUGUUCAAAAUACUCCUACAAAAUCAAAUAAAUAGAUUUUUUCCCAAUUAUAUGCCAUUUUAUCAAAAAAUUUGAAGGAUUUUGUUAAUUGUUUACAUUUUGUGCUUGUUUAAUUUUAUAAAAAUCAUGAAAAAUCCCCAAAAAUAAAAGACAAUACCACACAUUGUAUUUAGAUUUUGUUUUUAUAUUAUUAGGAUUAAUUAGUUAAUUAAUUGCUUUAUUAAAAUAAAAAUCACAAAAAUUGGCUCAUUUUUGCAUUUUAGCUUUUAAUUGUAGAUUAGUAAUUUUUCUAUUUUAAUUUGGGAUCAACUAAAUGUUAUAAAUAUUAUAAUUAUAUAAUUAGCUUAGAUUGAUCAUUUUGAUUAAUGCAGGAUUUAAUUUAGGAUUUUUAUUAAAGAAAAAAAUAAGAAUGCAAAGAAAUAGAAAUUAGAAAAGAAAUUGGAAAAGGGAAAGGGCUUAAGUCGAAAUUGGGAAAAUUUUAAUCCCAAACCCGCCUAAAAUCAACCCCACUCCCAAGAUUACUCGGUCUAGUUCCCACCCUCCUGAAAAGACCCAGUUUUACCAUAUCCCAAUCACACCCGUUGGAUCCCUAUGCUCCAACGACUUGGAACUAGGAACCACUAUUGUAUAACAUUGUCCUAACAAAGAUCCCCCUAUAGAACCCCUUUCAUUUCCAUCUCCCUCCUCCAAACAAAUCAAAACCUAGCCGCCUUCAUAUGCCUUGCUGCCUCCACCACUGUCCACCAACCCGAAAAUCACCUCACGCCGGUGCCAGUGCUCUAAUCGCUCCAAAUUAACACCCUAUGAGCCUGAGCUCUUUCCCAACACCAUCCUACUAUAUGUAUUCCUAAAAUCCCCACCUAAAUCCACCAAUUUAGAAUCUGAGAUCAAAACCUAAAAACCCUAAGUCUCAAAACCACCCAAACUCACACCCCAUGACCUCCAGACCCCCUAAACUCCAAUCCUUUGUUGAUUUCCCCAAACAACCCCAAAAACUUCCGUAAUUUCAAAUAUAAAAAGGAGUUCAGUUUUUGCAAAGAAAAACUUUUGAGUUUGAUGUUCCAUAAGUAUUUGAGUCCCAAGCUUGUUCUCUGGUGUUUUUCUUCGCAGAUUAGGCUUUCAUGAGUCUUUUCUUUCAAGGAGAUUCGAUCAAAACCAUGCCAGAGAAAAUUCAUUGAAGGAAAAGAAGUUAGUUGAUCAAUUAGUACAGAGAAGGACAUCACAUGGUAUCUUCGUUGCCUUUUAUUCUACAAAUGGUAAGGUCUCACCAGUUACCUCUCCAUUUUAUUUUCUUCAGGUUCGGGUCAGUGAUAUCUUUAGUUUGUUUUUCAGUUUGUGAAUCGUUUGUUUUUCAUUUACAGUCGACCUUGUUUCAAUUGUUGAUUGUGUUCAAAUUUGUUCUUAUCGGUUGAUGAACUUAGUUUAAUUCAUGAUUCAUUUAGUUUAACUCUUAUAAUAGUUGCAUUUAUUUUCACAGCUGUAGUUCGUUUUUUGUUGUUCUGAACCAUCUAUUAGUAUACUUAUAUCAUCUGAUUAAUCUAAACUCUUAAAUAAUUGUUUUGAUUAAUGCAUGUUAGCUUACGAUUAGUUUUUAUUUAAGUUGUUUUAUGUUGUCAUCAUUUGUUUAACUCGUUUGCCUAGGUUAGUCAUUCAAAUAUGUUAAUUUGAAGAGCCUUGUAGCAUUCAUCAUGAACUAGGUUCAGCUCAGGGUUUAGGUUUAUGUUAUUUUCGAUGUUUAAAAUUCAAACACUGCCAUGUUUUGUUGUCUGAUUUACGCUGUCCUACCCAUUUAUGUUUACCCUAAUCUCAAAAUCAGUAGAAACGUCUAGGGUCCUUAUUGAACUAAGAAAAACUUGAGGGAAUUGUAGAACUUAAAAAAUACAUAUCUAGGAUGAGGAAUGUUCUAGAAGUACCAACUAUCCAAAAAAUAGUUUAAAGUUGCUGAAAUGGACAACUGGACGUUAUUCUCUAUCAUGGCACCUGUACCACCUAUAGAAUUAGAGUAGAAUAUUCAUUCGAUUCUAUUUUUGGACCUACUCUAUAAAAAGAAAAGAAAUGCUACACUCAUUCACACAUGCAUUAGAUUAUCAAAACCCUAGAAAGUAUUAAAAGUCUUAGCUACUAUUCCAUUGGUGUUUAGUUCUAUAGUUCUUCUGAUUUUAGCAAAGACUUAAAAAUUCUUGCUCGGAUUUCUAGUUUUCUGAUUCAAGUUUUGUUUAAGCUAAGGUUGCACACUAUUUUCUUUGGCUAUUACUCAUUUCUUGUUGAAGUUCUCACUGUAUUCUGUUCUUUGCUGCAUCCAGGUAAUUCAUGAACUUUGGGUGAUAAAAGAUGGAGUUGUAACCUUUUAUUGUGAAAUGGAACUUCAAGAUCUUUCAUUUUUCUUAUGAUGUAUUCUAAGUAUUUGGUUUUAUAGUUUUCGUAUUUAACUCUGUGUAAGCAUGCUGAAAUUAUGGUUCUAUGCUAUAACUUAGUUGAGAUAUUGUAAGUAUGGAUGCUCAUAUAAUUUAGAUGUUCCAUGUGAUAUUUUUUGAUAACUUUGAAAUGUUAAGUAGAUACAUGAGCUCAUCUGGUCGUUUUUGGGAACUCUGGAUAAAUACUAUGGCCAAAGAAGGCCAUGUUUGAUUUUGGUUAUAUUUUGAGGUAUAUUAGCAUUUCAACAGUGUUUAAAGAUAUUGUAUGUUUAAGUUGUUUUAGAAUUAGUUUAGAGUUUAAUAUUUCAUUGUUAAUAGCAUGCUAAUAGAUUAAACUCAUGAUUUGAUUUUAUCAGCCUUUGAUCUUUGUCCAGAAAUUCUGUAUUGUUUUGUGUAUAUGUGACUUAGAUGAUAUUGAGACUCAAGUGUGCCUUAAAGUUAAAGGCCCUUUUUAUGUAGUCUCAACACUAUGUAGUUCUUUCUUGUUACAUGUAUAAAGGAAAUUAGGCAUCAUUAAGGCCAAAAAGUUACAGGUUUUCCUGUUAAACUAGUUGGGCCUCAUGCUGACCCAGAUGAUGCAGUUUGUUAAAAUCAGGUUAACUGGAUACCUGUUCUGUUCCCCUUGCACUUUUGAGCUUAGUAAUGAGCCCAACUUCCUUCAGCAAAGUUUUGCCCAUUAAGGUUUUUUCUUCUCUAGUACAUUAUGAAAUGAAACUCUAAUGCCGGAAACUUAUUAAUUAAAAGCUGGGCUUGAUUUUUGGCCCAAGCAAAACCGCUAUAGUAGCCUGCCUGCACCUGUGUCCUGAUUUUAUGGGACCAAUUUCGAUCCCUAUUCCCAUUAACCAUAGUUUCUCUUAAAAGAUUUGUAGAUAAUGCAUUAGGCUUGCUCUUGGCCCACUUCUUUUUUUUUAAAAAAUAACUAAUGACUUGCCUUAUAUUUCCGUACAUAUUACAAUUAGUAGUUUGAUAUGGAACUUCAAACUAGUAGUAAAAAAUGAACAUCCUUAGUUCGCUUUAGUUGAGUACAAUUCUUCAAAAAUAAAUUAUGAUGUGCCAUUCAUAAUUGAAUCACCUAAUUUAUAGUCCUCACAUUAAUAUUAUAACUUGGGUAUUAAACAAUCUUGAACAUUCGAAGCUUGCUUUAGGCAUGACUUAGUCUAUUAUUGUGAUUACAUAUACGUUUACGUAAUAUAAUUAUGAUUUUUAUUAAUAAAAUAAAUUGAGGUAUGCGUUCACAUCACAUCGACCAAACAAUCUUUAUUAAUAAAGUGUGAUUAACUGUGGACACAUAUGCGUGACAUAAUUCUUGAUGCGUCAAAUGAAAUGAGUACACGUAUGCGUGACUCAUUUUUCUAAAAUUAUGAAUAAUCAAGCAAUUAAAAGCAGUUAAGGGGAUAAAUGCACAUAGGUCCUAGAAUGAGUAAUUAAAUAAUUUAUGUAAUCAAAGUAUAAUUGGUAAGAGACCAUGCUAGAACCAUGGAACAUUGGAAUGCCUAACAGAUUCUCCCCGGUAAUAUAAUUCCUUAUCUAGAAGUUCUGGUGUGCAGAAUUUUAAAUAAAGUCGAAAACAUUUCUUUGAUUUGGGAUUUACAAUAAAUCGGUAACUUGGCGUACCAUAAUAAACUAUUCUAAGUGAUGACUCUAAAGAAAAUAAAUAAAAUAAUUUUAUUUUGAUUUAUGCCACUUUAAUUAGAAAAAUUCACUUAUAUAUCCUCUCAGGUGUAAAGAGGACGUGUGACAAUAAAAUCUAUGUGAAAAUAUCAAAAAUAUAGAAAGCUACUAAAAGAAGCAAAGAUAAACGGCUAUUGUAGUUGUUCAUAUGUAAAGUUGACCUAAUAAAGUGAAACUUCUAUUAAUACAGGGCUAGAAAUUUCG
rnacentral:lncRNA from 1 species